UGGGAUAACUUCGGGAAACCGGAGCUAAUACCGGAUAAUAUUUUGAACCGCAUGGUUCAAAAGUGAAAGACGGUCUUGCUGUCACUUAUAGAUGGAUCCGCGCUGCAUUAGCUAGUUGGUAAGGUAACGGCUUACCAAGGCAACGAUGCAUAGCCGACCUGAGAGGGUGAUCGGCCACACUGGAACUGAGACACGGUCCAG
rnacentral:rRNA from 1 species